UCUGGCACACAGGAAAGGAGCCCCUGGAAAAACCUUCUCUAAAGAGAGUCAUUAUACAUGUACAAUGUGCAGAGGAUGCUGGUCUUCCAUCAGUUUCAUCGCCACAUACAUAAAGUGUCCGAAAGUCCUAUCUAAUACACAAGAUAACAAUCACACAGGAGUGUGUGCGCAUAUACUCGUAUAUGUAUAUAUGUAUAUGUGUGUGGGUGGAUAUAUAGGUCUGGUUCUGCCUGUGCGUAAUAUUCCUACUUCACCUAAAUGAAUUGCUACCCAAUAUCCCCAUGAAAACAUAAAUGAAUAAAAAAUUAACAUGAGAGUAUUAAAAUACUGUUAACAAAAGGGCAAAACCAGCUUGCAUUACCUUCUUACCUAACUAUAGCCCUCACACUAGCCACAAUAGAUGGUCUAUUUCCACAAAAGUUGGAGACCACAAAACAAGGAAACCCAGGUGAGCCUGUGCAGUCCUUCUAAUAAGCUAUAGGUAGUGAACAUAUAAAAUCAGACGGGAUUCUGGUGUCAAAUCAUCCAGAUCUGGGUGGUGCAGGGCAAUACUGGCCAAACACGAGUUAGGGGAAGGGUACUUGGUAGAACCCCGCUGCAUUCACAGCCCAGCCCCCACUCUAGUUAGAGGAAUACUAAAGUGAGAAAGAGCAUGACCCCAGUGAAUAAUGAUGAAGCCACACAGCAGCUCCAUCACCCUUCUUAAUACAAUGUCAUGUUGUUAAUCUAGCAGUAGACGUCCUUAUACUGAGCUAGGCGGCCAACAAAGACCGAAUAAAGAAAUAAACUAAAAGCCCCAAGGAAAGCAAGAUGUUUGCAUUGUAGAGAACAAUUAUAAUAUUUGGAUUCACCCUGGGAAAUCUACCCCCUAGUAAAAGAAAUGUUCUUCCUUAAAGGUACCUUUAAUUUAAAGUGAGUACAUAGAGUCCUUGUACAAUCUUGAAGAAGAAAUCUUGAAGAAAUUUUGAAGAUAAAAGCUGAAUGACUUAUAUCAUACAAUAUAAAAUUCACCACAAAGCUUAGUCAUUAAUACAGUGUAGUAAUGACACAAAGGCAUACAUAAUAGACCAAUGGAUCACAAUAGAGAGUUGAGAAACAAAUUCACACAUAGAUAUUUACUUGAUCUGUAAUGAAGGUGACAGACACUGCAUUGUACUGAGUAAAGGAUGUCUUUUUGAUAAAUGAGUUGGAUUAAUUAGCUAUCCAUAUGGAGAAAAGAAAAGGUGACCCCUCCCGCAACUCACAUGUACUCUACAAUUCACUUGAAGUGAAUGUUAAAUCUAAAUACAAAAAGCAAAACAAAGAAUUUAGAAGAAAAGAUAGCAGAUUAUCUACAUAACCUUGAAGAAGGCAAAUUACUACAAAUGGAUACAAAACGCACUAAUCAAAAGGGGAAACAAAUGAUAAACUGGCUUAUUACAAUUAAGAACUUCUUUUCAAAAAAAGAACCAAAAAGAAAAUAAAAAUCAAGCCACAAAAGAUAUUUGCAAUACAUUUACUCAACAGAGAUUCAUAUCCUUAAUACACUGUAUAAAUAACUCCUACAAAACAUUCAGAAAUCAGAAAAUCCAAAAGAACAAAAAAGGCAAAAAGUCCAUUACGUGUUUUUCCUUAAAAUAAAAGACUUAUUUUUCAUUUUCACCACUAACUACUGAUUUGGGUAUCCUGAGUAUGUCAGCUAUCUCCCGCUAUUGGCUUCUAGUGGGUAGAAGCAGGAGGUGCUACUAAACUUUUCCAACGCA